AGCUCACGACGAAGUGCUCCAUGGAGUUCUUACACACGUUUCUGAACAAAUGACAAAGGCUUUUAGAAUCAAUGAGAUGAAAGAUGAGAUGCUUAAUCGGCUGAACGUGAUGCAGCAAAGAAUCGAAAGCAACGAGCAAGUGGUACCUGAAGACCAAUUGGAGGGCAUGAAAGCCAUAGAGAUUGAGAAAUGUAAGAUGGAGAUAAGAGCAAUCAAGGACGAACUACUUGCAGCAAAAAG